AAAAGACAAUUGUUUUUCAUUUAUGCCUCAGAGAUUAAAAAUCUGCAGAAAUCUCUCAAAGAAAAAAAAAAUUCACAAAAAUGCCUCAAAUUCCAAAUAAGUCGAUUUAGAUUUUUAAUAGGACAAUUGUGCCCUAACGGAAAGCAAAGAGAUUAUUCCCUUCUAAUCUUCCAAAACCCAUCUUCAACCUUAAUCUCAACCCAAAAUCACGCCAUUGCAGCCCUAAGAGCACGAAAUUUUUUCACAAUCAACGCAUCAGCCAUUAAUCAACAGAUGAUAACCUUCAAUUUCAAAAAUAUGAAGCAACAAAUCAUCAAGAACAACAAGUUUCCAGCAAAAUUAGAGUAGAAGAUGGUCAUCCGAUGGAUAUCAAAUCUUGAUGAUUUUUUCAAGGAAUUGGCUUUUGGUGUUCAGUGGAGACGACGACUACAAUGUUGAUGUCGAGUAUUAGCAUGUGACUGUAGAGUGGGGUUGUGUAUCUCUAUAAAUUUUUUAGAAUAGUUACAUGAAUCUACACAACUGUUUAGUCGGAAAUUUGUAUAAUAUUUAGAAGGAAUGUGAUUAGAAAUAGAGCAAAAGGUUUGUUUUGUGUGACACAUGUACAUGGCUAAAAUUAAGGGUGUCUCUUUGUUGAAAGUUAAUUGAUGUUAUAUAAGAUGGAUAUUAAGUUUAUAUA